AUUGAACGCUGGCGGCAGGCCUAACACAUGCAAGUCGAGCGAGCGGCGGACGGGUGAGUAAUGUAUGGGGAUCUGCCUGAUGGAGGGGGAUAACUACUGGAAACGGUGGCUAAUACCGCAUACUAUCGGAUGAACCCAUAUGGGAUUAGCUAGUAGGUGGGGUAAAGGCGCACCUAGGCGACGAUCCCUAGCUGGUCUGAGAGGAUGAUCAGCCACACGGGGACAGAGACACGACCCAGACUCCGACGGGGGGCAGCAGUGGGGAAUAUUGCACAAGGGGCGCAAGCCGGAUGCAGCAAGGCCGCGGGUAUGAAGAAGGCCUUAGGGUGGUAAAGUACUUUCAGCGGGGAGGCGUUACCCGAAGAAGAAGCACCGGCUAACUCCGUGCCAGCAGCCGCGGUAAUAC
rnacentral:rRNA from 1 species